rnacentral:lncRNA from 1 species
ACGGAAAUGAUGAGGCCUGUGACCCGCACGGAGCAGUGUCAGCCAAUGAGAAGAGCGAGUGCUUCUAGUAGCCAAUAAACAACUGAUAUGUAAAUCACCUCGGAAGGUAACGGUACUUGGGUGGGAUCAGGCUCUCGGUCCUCAGUAGCCUGCCGAAGACGGGUGCCCUCGAGGCUGGUCUCCGCGUCCCGAAGUCGAGGGGCGGGGCGGGGACGGGCCCUUGCCUGGGCGCAAUGGAGAAGCACCAUAGACGGGAGAAGACUAUUUCUGGAUGUAUUAACUACCUGUGUUCCUUGCUUUUCUCUCUGGUUAACUCUGAAGUCUUGGGAUUUUUCUCCCGUGUAAGAAAGGGAGAAUUCAGUAAGGGAAAGAUGUGUGAUUUUUCCAAAUCUCCUAACAUUUCUAUAUUGAAUAUGUGUUACUUCACUAAUGAGAAAAAAAUGGCGAUGUUAUUUAAAAUGUUGGCUUCUGAAAUCAGACAUUCUGAGGUCCUUUCCAGCCUCAUCAAACCGUCUUCUUGCUGCAGUGGGGACUACACACUCACCUAGACUUUUGGACUCCUCCUCCAGGUGGGUGAUACUGAUAGAGGAAUGUUUGGAAUCCAAGGGUUGCUGAGAGAAUUCUUAACUGCUUUUUAUGAGUUUUUCUCCCUGACAACACUUCAAGACUUCUUUCUCCCUGAGAACACUUCAAGAAAAAUGCUUCGCCCUCUGGAUAACUGCAGUUUUCUCUCUGUUGUUUUUCAGAAGGCUGACUGAUAAAGACACACCAUCUAGGGAACCGUGCAGAAUAUUUUUCUCCAAGACGAGUCAUGAUUGACUUCUCCCUUGAUCUCUGCCAUUCUUUCUUAUGAUGGCAAGGUUUGGCAUCAGGAAGAACAUAUGAAUUUAGGAUGAGGACAGAUAGCAUAUCAUCAAAAGCCCUGAUUUUUAAAAAAUUGAAUAUAUUUGAUAUAUAACAUUGUGUCAAUUUAAGAUGUACACUGUGCUAAGUUGAUAUAUUUAUAUAUUGUAAUAUGAUUGCCUUUGCAGCUGUAUUUAGCACCUUUACCACAUUACAUAAUUAUCCAUUCCUUUUAGUCUUUGGGAUAAUUCCAUUUUAGUCUCUUAGUAAGUUUGAUAAUGGAGUACAAUAUUGUUGUCUAUAUUCAUGAUACUGUGAAUUCGAUCUCUAGGACUUACUUACUACUCAUUGUAAGUUUGUACCCUUGAACAACAUCAGUCUUAUCCCCUCACCCCUAUCCCCCGGUGUUGCAGGAUUAUUUUUUUCUCUGUCAGUGCCCAUGGUUCUCAGUCAUGCAGCUUCGAAGAAUAGAGAGGUAAGCCAGACGGAGUGGCGGGCAGCAGAAUCAAGGCUUAUUGAGUGAUAGCGAAGUGAUAACCCAAAGCUCCCGAGGAGGGAGGGGACCUGAGAAGGUUGCCACGGGAGUUUCUAAAUCUGGGGAUUUUUAUGGGCUUGUUGACAGGCUGUUUUAAUCUGAUUAACCCUCCCUGUGUCUUUCAUCCAAUCAGGUUUUUGUCACAUGGGAAAGGGUGGCUGGGCUCCUUCCAGGGUGGUGUAAAAUUCUUUUAAGGGUGGUUUCCUCUUAGGGCGGAGGCCCUUACCCUGCCUGCCUGCCUUCCAACUCUCCUUCCUCACCAUUUUACUCUCUGGUUUUUGUUAAGUUUGACUUUUUUAGAUUCCACUUAUAAGUGAUACCAUCUAAUUCUUCCCUUUUUCUGUCUGACUUGUCUCACUUAGCAUAGUGUACUCAGGGUCCAUCCAUGGUGUUGCAAAUAUCAGGAUAUCUUCCUUUCUCAUGGCUGAAUAAUCCAUUGUGUAGAUUUUUUUUUUUUUUUACCCAUUCACCAGUAUAUGGGCCUUUAGGCUACUUCUGUAUCUUAAAGCCCUGAUAUUUUUAAUCUGUGGCAACACGUGAGGAAAAAGCCGAGAACUCCAAUGGGCAUCAGCCUUGACCAGCAAGAGGCGCUGUUGUGAGGGGCACUUGGCUGGUUCAGUCCACAGAGUGGGCGACUUUUGAUCUCCGGGUUGCAAGUUCAAGUUCGAGCCCCAUGCUGGGUGUGGAGCCUACUUAAAAAAACAAAACCAAACAGAGGUGGUGUUGUGCAUUGCGGAAGGGAAGGCAGGUCUUCUCAGCACAUUCGCCUACACAGAUAACACUGUCAGCAAGGGAAUCUUCAGAAGAGGGAGAUGAUAUGUGCACACGUGUGAGUGUGUGUGUAUAUCUGUCAGAAGCUGGUGUGUGAAGUGGGCGGUGACUGUGUGUGUCUCUCUCCUAUAGAUGUGUCCGCACAAGGAACCCAAGAGUUGGGAAGGGGGAGAGAUGCUCUCUGGGGGGAGCAAGGCAGAGGGGGUUUGCUGUCCUUGCCUGACCUCUUUGCUGUGUUGGUCCCAGACAUUCCAGGCUAGCCCAUGGGGAUGCAGUGCCCUCCUGUGGUUGGCGUGGUUCUUCCUAACUUUCUCNNNNNNNNNNUCCUGAUGUUCUAAGGAGCCAUUCUCUCGCUUUAUUCCAGCUCUUGCUAUGAUACAGUUUGAACUAAAGAGGGUUCGUGUUCGGGUUCGUAAGGUCUUGGGAAAAGGAAAGGAAGUGCUUGCUCAUGAGAAGGAGAGAAAGCACUGAUGGCUGAAAGCAGAGGGGGCUGAAGGCGAAUGUAAGGGCUCCCAGGGUAGGAGGAGGCAAAAAGGGCAUGACUCACCCGUGCUUGGAAUCUCCCAACCUCUGCUCAUUGCCCUCAGAUGCUGAUAGCAUCGGUGACCCAGAAACACACGAAGAGCCCCGGAGUCUGGUGGCCUUCUCCUCAAGUCUCCUUUCUGUAGUCCUCCAAACCCUCUGCACCUAAAAUAGCUAAUGUCUGUAUAAUUGUGUCCCUUCCAAUUCACCCAUCCAAAGUCCUGGCAAGACCACUUGAGUGGAAAGCAGCAGAGAGUGGACGGCGUGCUUCAUGUCUUCUGUUUGAAGGAAGGAAGGAAGACAGAUUGGCCUUCUAAAGGCACAGCUGGAAAUUUAUUUUUUGCCUUUGUUUCAGCAAAAUCACUGUUGUUGCAGUCUAGAUUUUCACACAAUUUAUGUUCUUCUUAUGACAGCAAUGGAUGUCAAAUUAGCUAAUUUUUCUUGGAUCAUUGUAGGUUAUUAGUUUUUAAAAAUUAAUUUCCAUUUGAAGAUAUUUUGCUCUGUUAAAAGAUUAUGGUAAAGUAUUAUCAAUUAGUUAAUAAUUAUCAACAACUCAUUAUUUUAUAUGUUUGUGUUAGUUACCUGUUGGCCUCUCUUAAAUGUGAGGCCCGGGGAAGGGCCUGAUCUAGGGUAGUUCUGUUCUUAAAGCAAUAUUUGGGGCGCCUGCGUGGCUCAGUUGGUUAAGCAUCGAACUCUUGAUUUGGGCUCAGGUCAUGAUCUCAGGGUCAUGAGACUGAGCCCCUUGUUGGGCUCUGUGCUCAGUAUGGAGUCUGUUUGAGAUUCUCUCUCUCCUCCUCACUCUGCCCCUUCCCUCUACCUCUCCCGCUGCGUGCUUUCUCUGUCUCUCUCAAAUAAAUAAAUCUUUAAAAGAAAAUAAAGCAAUAUUUACAAAUAUUAAAGCGUAUUUGUAAUGAGUUUUACAUAUCAUGUUGUAACACUGAAAUGGGGUUGCAUAUUUAAAUUAAGAUUAUCGCAGUAAGUGUUACGG